rnacentral:lncRNA from 1 species
GCUUGCCGGCUUAGCCUGCCGGGCUGUCGCCGCUUCCCCUGGCAGAGCUCGGCUGGGAAGAUGGCUCUGGAGAUGAGAGAGUUGCUUCCCCAGCCUUGUCCUGCCUGGGGAAAGGGCGAGUGUGGGACAUAACCACUUAAUAUUUAUCUGUGCAUACACAGUUGGGUGUUCUCACAGACAGACAGCCGUGGUGGACAGACACACUCCACUUUCAGGGCCCACUUGGCAUUGCUACCCACAGACACCCUCAGUACCUCCAAAGCUUUGCCUUUACCCUCCCAACCAAUGCAGACCUACAGCUUAGGUGCCACAACCCUCCCAGGGUCACACAGCCUGCCCACUGAGGGGAGCCCAUGCUCCAGGCACGUCUACCACCAUGCUGUGCUGCAUUUGCCCACCAGAGCUGGUCCCACAUGCACACACAACCACAAAAACGGC